GGGAACAGAGAAGCCCUUCUAUAUAGAAGCUUCAUUAAAAUCCUCGGGACCAUUGCAUCAACUGGACUGGAGUCUGGGUUCUUGGGGAGCCCACUUGUGACUCUGAAAACUUUGGGGUCCACCGAGAUUGGGGUGCCCCCGACCCCCACUCUGACAAUUGGAGGUGAAGGCUCGGAUCGUUGACCAAGGACCACACGGACACCCGGAUCAAGUGCCUUAUAUUUCGGUCUGGCAGAGUUUAGCUAGAGAUCCACCUGUCUGGGUGAAGCCGUUUCUCACCGCUUCGCCUGCCCCAGUACGCUGGGACCUAGACCUCCCCCUCUCCCUUCUCAAACUCCCCUUAUACCCUUAGCUCUGCAGCCGUCAGCCCUGGCUGCUCCCCAACCGUUUCCCAGCUCUCCUACUUCCUCCCUUUAUCCCCUUAAGGAAAUCCAGCGUAAAGAAUCUAAAGAAAAGGAACCCCCGGUCCUACUAGGGGACCAGGAGGAUCUGCUCAUGAUGGAAUCACCCCCCCGCCCCACACCCCUUACGCUUAUCCGCCAACACGAGAAAGGGAGUCAGUCCUCAAAGAGGGCUGCGGGGGGUUGAACUCUCCGGACAGAGAGCACUCUCCUCGCCGGGAUCCCCACCCCGCCCAGCAGCCGUCUCCGCUCCUGCCGGGAGAAGGCGGGGACACGGAGACACGGACAGGGGGACAUCACAAGUCCUUCCCCUUCGCUCGGUAGGUGGCCAAACACAAUACUGGCCGUUCUCCGCCUCGGAUCUCUAUAAUUGGAAAACUCAUAAUCCGUCCUUCUCCCAGAACCCCCAAGUUUUAACUGGACUAAUAGAGUCCAUUCUCCUCACCCACGCCCCCACCUGGGAAGAUUGUAACCAAUUGUUACAGGCCCUCGUCACAACCGAAGAGAGACAGCGUGUCGCCCUAGAGGCUCGUAAGAACGUGCCGGGGGACGAUGGCAGGCCCACUUGCUGCCAAAUGAGAUCGAGGAAGCCUUCCGCCUGACCCGCCCCGACUGGGAUUUCAACACCCCUGGCGGUAGGGAACAACUUCGUCUCUAUCGCCAGAUUCUCCUGGCGGGUCUCAAAGGGGCAGGUAGACGCGCCACCAAUUUGGCUAAGGUACUGUGCUAUAGUACAAGGGUCAGAGGAGACUCCGGCAGGGUUCCUAGAAAGACUGAUGGAGGGAUACCGCAUGCAUACUCCCUUCGACCCCGUGGCACCGGACAGGCAGGCCGAGGUUAUAAUGUCCUUUAUUGGACAAUCGGUCCCCGACAUCCGCACUAAGCUACAGCGGCUAGAAGGGCUCCAGGGAUAUACCUUGCCAGACCUAGUGAAGGAAGCUGAAAAGAUUUAUAACAAAAGGGAGACGCCAGACGAAAAAGAAGAGAGGUUACACAGACAACAGGAACAGAGAGAGGACUUCAGAGACAAAAAGAGAAAGAAUUAUCUAGAAUCCUGGCCACCGUAGUCUCAGGAACAGGGCAGAAUAGGCCUAGGCAGAACAGGAACCUGGGAAACAGAAGGAAGCCGCCGCUGGAACAGGACCAAUGUGCCUACUGUAAAGAAAAGGGACACUGGGCCAGGGAUUGUCCAAUUCUUACCCAGAAGACAAAAGUGCACAAGCCUGUCCGGGUGCUGUCCUUGGAAGAAGAUUAGGUGAGUCAGGGCCAGGAGCCUCCCCCUGAGCCCCAGGGAACUCUUCAAAUGGGAGGCCAACCAGUGACGUUCCUGGUUGACACAGGGGCCCAGCAUUCGGUCCUUACCCACACCAAAGGGCCCUUGAGUACCAAAACAUCCCACCAGGGGAAGGCUAUAUAAAUGGACUUCAGAGAGAGACGUCCACUUACCCACGGGAAAAGUUACUCAUUCAUUCUUGCUGGUACCAGACUGUCCAUAGCCAUUAUUGGGAAGAGAUCUCCUCUCCAAGGUAGGAGCCCAAAUUCAUUUUCAAGAAAAGGGGGUCUCUGUUAUAAACCCAAAGGGUCAGCCCCUCCAGGUACUGACCCUGAGAUUGGAGGAUGAGCACCGGCUUCAUGAAGCUCCUCCAAAACCCCUCUGAAUAGACCCCAAAUGGCUCACCAAUUACUCCUUGGCAUGGGCAGAAACAGCAGGCAUGGGACUGGCCACCCAGCAGCCACCGCUGGUGAUAACUCUAAAGUCUACCGCCACCCCCCCCCCCCCCCCGUGUCCAUCGGCCAAUAUCCUAUGACCAAGGAGGCGAAGGAAGGGAUAAGACUUCAUAUCCAGAGACUCUUACAAUUGGGCAUUUUGAAGCCCUGUCAAUCAGCAUGGAAUCCUCCCUUGCUGCCGGUCAAGAAACCUGGUACAAAUGACUAUAGGUCGGUCCAGGACCUGAGAGAGGUAAACAAAAGGAUAGAGGACAUUCAUCCUACUGUACCUAACCCUUACAAUUUGCUCAGCACCUUGCCUCCAGGACGUAUCUGGGUACACCGUACUUGAUUUAAAAGAUGCCUUUUUCUGUUUGAGAUUGAGCCCUCAGAGCCAGAAUCUUUUUGCCUUUGAAUGGAAAGGUCCAGAGUCUGGGUACUCGGGACAGCUGACCUGAACCAGGCUACCACAGGGAUUUAAAAAUUCCCCCACCUUGUUCGAUGAGGCUCUACACCAGGACCUGGCGACUUUCAAGUUAACCACCCAGAUGUGACCCUCCUCCAAUAUGUAGAUGACCUGCUCCUGGCAGCGAGAAGUGACUUACUUGGGGUAUCUUCUAUGAGGGGGCCAGAGAUGGCUGACUGAGGGACGCAAACAGGCCGUGGCUCUCAUACCUCCGCCCUAUAGUGCUAAGAAGCUGAGAGAGUUCCUAGGGAGUGCAGGCCUCUGCCGCCUCUGGAUACCGGGGUUUGCAGAAAUGGCAGCCCCGUUAUACCCCCUCACAAAGGCCAAUGCUCCCUUCACCUGGGGAGAGAAGGAACAACAAGCCGUUGAUAACAUCAAGAAGGCUUUAUUGUCAGCCCCCCCCCCCCCCAGCACUGGGCCUCUCGGACAUGAAAAAGCCAUUCACCCUAUACGUGGAUGAACGGGGAGGUAUAGCAAAAGGAGUCCUAACCCAACAAUUGGGCCCCCGGAAAAGACCGGUAGCCUACUUUUCCAAGAAACUGGAUAAUGUAGCGUCAGGAUGGCCUCCUUGUGUCUCUGCAUGAUAGCCGCGGUAGCAACCCUGGUCAAGGACUCUGAUACGAUCACACUGGGACAACCUCUCACAAUAAUGGCCCCACAUGCUAUAGAGACAGUGACCCGACAGCCCCCUGACCGGUGGCUCUCAAAUGCGAGAGUCACCCACUACCAGGCUACGUUGCUGAACCCUGAGCAGAUCCGUUUUGGGACCCUCACUUCCCUCCACCCAGCCACUCUGCUCCCUGAGAGAGGAGCAGAAACUGCCGUGGCGCACGACUGCCACCUAGUGUUGGCCGAGACUCACGGCACUCGAGAAGAUCUGACAGAUCAGCCACUUCCGAGAACGUAGACUUCACUUGGUUCACAGAGUAGCUCACAGGAGAAGCUUCCUGCAACAGGGAGAACCGAGGGCAGGUGCAGCCGUGGUGGAUGGCACCAACGUGAUCUGGGCAAGGGCUCUAACCCCUGGGACCUCGGCCCAGCGGGCUGAACUAGUGGCCCUCACACAGGCCCUGAAGGCAGCUAGAGGUAAGGCAGCUAAUAUUUAUACUGACAGCUGGUAUGCGUUUGCCACGGUGCAUGUCCAUGGGAAGAUAGAUUGCAGGAGAGGAUUACUAACAUCUGUGGGAAAGGACAUUAAAAACAAGCAAAAGAUCUUGGAUCUCUUAGAAGCCCUUCAUCUGCCCAAGAGACUGAGUAUUACACAUUGUCCGGGACACCAGGAAGGAGAUGGAUGACAAGGUAGCCCGGGGAAACAGAAUGGCCAAUGAAACAGCCAAGGCUGCCGCUCUAGGUGAGCAGAUACUCACCCUAAAAGAGCCUAGAGAGCAGCCCCAAAACCCAAGAUAUAAAUACUCAGAUAGAGAUCUGGACAUUGUUCAACAGAAAGGGGUACAAUAUGAUAAACAAGAAGGAGCUUGGAGACUUCAGGACAAAACAGUCCUACCCUAAAAGAUGGCUAGCAUGCUAGUGACUGACCUCCACCACCUGACCCACCUAGGACACAAAAAGCUCAGAGAGCUACUACAUAGGGAAGAACAGUUCUAUUUCAUACCUAACCUAAGCUCCCUGAUUAAGCAGGUUACAGGAUCCUGUGUUCCUUGCGCCAAGGUAAAUGCCAGUCGUCGGACAUUGCCAGAAGGAGUCAGAGUUCGAGGAUCCUGCCCAGGAACAAACUGGGAGGUGGACUUCACUGAGACCCGCCCAGGACGAUAUGGAGCUAAAUAUCUCUUAGUCUUUAUUGACACGUUUUUGUUAUGGGUGGAAGCUUUCACUACAAAGAAAGAAACGGUACAGGUGGUGGUCAAGAAGAUCUUAGAAGAGAUUUUUCCCUGUUUUGGCCUGCCCAAGGCAAUAGGGUCAGAUAAUGGCCCUGCCUUCAUUUCCCAGUCUCCAGGCACUCCUGAGGGCCCUACAGCUCAUCCAGAACCAAGUCUAGAAACGGCUAGCAGCUGUGUAUCAGUCCAAACCAUCUAGUGUAACUCAUCCCUUCCAGAUUGGAGACUGUCUACGUUUGCAGACAUCAGACUAAGACCCUGGAACCUCGCUGGAAGGGACCUUACACCAUAUUGCUGACCACCCCAACAGUUGUCAAGGUUGACCGGAUUGCUGCUUGGAUCCACACCUCCCACAUCAAGUUGGCACCUGCUGAGGUCAACGAGGACCCUACGACCCCGAGAUGGAAGCUUCAGCAAACUCAAAACCCUCUAAAGCUCAAAAUUGUGCAUGCCUGACACUGGUCUUCAUAAUGGGGACGACUGGGACACUGUCUAUAAACAACCCCCAUAUACCAGGAACAACUAUCUGGACCCUAACUGUUGCGGGUACUGAUGUUGUUCUGGCUACUAAAUCUUUCAUCGGCCCAUAUGGAGUUGGAUGUCCAAAUGAAAUGGAAGCAGACCUCAAAAAGAUCCUCGAAACUCUAGGUGAAAAGAUUCAUUGGACUGGUGAUUGGUAUGUUUGUCCUGGGAACAAAAACACCUGCCGCUCGGGAUGUAACUCCCCACAACAAUUCUACUGUGAUAAAUGGGGUUGCGAGACAUCGUCUUUUGGUAGAAUAGCAGGAAGAUGGGGCACAAAGCAAGAUCUAGGCUGGGAAACAGAAAGAUAACAAAGAAGACAAGUCAUCUCUCUAAGAGGCUGAGGAGCACCAGAAACAAAAGUUUAAAGAUUCCCGCUGGUGCGAACGGAAGACGGGCAGAUACACUGGAGACUGCGGACUGUGUUGGUCGUGGUGUUUCUUCACAUCAAUAGUAACCCCAACUGAGACCCACCCAACAUUUAAAGCUGAAUCACCCAAAGAUGUCCAAAAGAGUCUCUUGUGGAAACAAACUCAGAUGACCUGCUGGGUGUAGCCAGGAGAGUGCCCUCGAGGAGCUGUGGGUGGCCCUUGACCAUGAGGUCCAAGUCUCGACUCCUGGUCUCAAAGGAAGCCUGGCUUUGUUCUGUAUGUGCAGAUGCUUUCCUAGGUAGAUUGGAGGAAGCAGAAUUAUGGAUAUAAGAUAAAAAAUUGAAUCUACUUUAAAAAAAGGAACUACUUGUUUUAAAUAGGAUAAGCAAUG